CUUGUGCUCUUCCGAUCUGGAAAAAAGGAGAGAGAGGAAAGUGUUAAAUGGAGAGAGUCGACUAAUCAGAGACUUUUAGGAUCUUCUUUACAUCAGGUAAAUCUGUCGGCCCUGUCCGUUUUUUUCUUUAUGUUAUGACUCUUUGCUGCUUACUUCUAUCAAGCCAUAGGGAAAGUCUAUGAUGAAUUUGGAAAACUCGUCUCACUCUUACUCUAUGGCUCGGACUUAAUGGGGGAAGAAAACAUCUUCCAGAAUUUCUUUUUUUGUUCAAUUCUGGACAAAAAAGAAAAGG